UUAUGUGCUAAUGAUACCUUGGACGUAAAACCAGCUCGACAAUAUCGAUUGAACACAGUAGUUUUGUUAUCUUGCGCGGGCCAGCCGGGCCAGUCGGACCCCGUGUUCCAGAGGAAGUUGACAGUAUGAUUGGUUUGAAGAGGAGCCAUCGUUAGCAUUCAUGUAGCGGAACCGCAAAGUUUUCCCGCGCAAAUGCGUAUCACUGAUUUUUAUGAAUUCUUCAUCGCUCCACAGAUUUCAAAAGGUAUCAAGAAAUAUUUGCUUCUAAUUAAAGAUCGUCAUUUUGAAAAAAUCAAGCGGAAAAGUAAAUAGAGCAUAGUCGCACAAUGAAGAGGACUGAGUGAAGAUGAUAUACGAAUGGAAGUGGAGGCAAGACUGAACGAUGACGACGAG